rnacentral:lncRNA from 1 species
GGGGGGGGCGCCCGCAGCAGCUGGGCCCCCGCCGGCAGGGUCGCAGCCGCUGAGGCGGCCCCUCAGGCGCCCCCGUGCCUCGGCCGUCCUCCGGGAGAAGGCGGCGUUCGCUGUCGGAAGCAGCCCGGCCUCGGACAGGAUCUUGGAGGCAGGUACGGCCCUGAAGAGGUGCUGCUUGCAAACAACCAUUUUGCAGAGCUAGAAAAUGAAGGAGGAAAGCGGGUCUGUCUUCAAGUUUGGAAAAUGCAAACUGCAGGUCCGCCACCCCUGUACAGUGACAGUAUCACACCCUGGCUGCGGAUUAAGGCUGGUUUCUGCAGCAGUCUUUCAGGGUGAGGAGUUGCAGUGUUUUCCUCAUGAGGAUGAUGGUUAGGACUCCAGCAGGGCUUAUGAGGUUAUAAAAGGUGUAUAGUAUUAAUUAUGAAUCCACAGCCUGGGAAGACAAAUGGACAUUUAAAGAUGUCUGAGGACUGGGAUAAAAACUGAAGCAACUGCUUACAGAACCACCAUAGGGGAAUACACUGCUCGCAUUCUUGUUGUCACACAGGGGUGUGUUGCCUGGCAAGCCACCCGAAGCAUGCCUGUGCGCUGCCUCUGGCUCAGAGCACUGGCUGCAGUUGCCUGUUUCAUCACAGUUUGUUGUCCUGGGUUUUGGAAACCGACCGCUGACACUGUCACCUACUCUGUGCUGGGAGAAGUUAUUUCAGUUGUUUGCACAUAAGCAGCUUUCUGGUUCUGUUUAUUUUAGUCAAGACAUGCUGCUGCGGUGAUGGUUAGCAUUGUAACAUAGUUGCCCCAAAUGAGGGUUGGAGUUUCAAUGCUGCUUUCAAAAGUUUCCCUUCACCUUAUGUGCCAAUUCCUGACAUUUGCAUCCGAGCACCCUGUUCCAUCUCUUCUUCCACGUACAACUUCUGCCCAGGUACUUAUUGAAACUCUGCUGUGAUAGUCCCUUGUAUUGAAAGCUUCUGUCAUAAGAGAUGUCUCCU